GAUGAACGCUGGCGGCGUGCCUAAUACAUGCAAGUCGAGCGAACGGACGAGAAUCUUGCUUCUCUGAUGUUAGCCGCGGACGGGUGUGUCACACGUGGAUAACCCACCUAUCAUACUGGUAUCAUUUCGGGAAUCCGUCGCUUAUCCCAGAUAAUCUUUUGCACCGCAUGGUUCAAAAGUGAGAGACGGUCUUGCUGUCACUUCUAGAUGGUUCCGCGCUGCAUUAUCUAGUUGGUAAGGUCACGGCCUACCAAGGCUACGAUGCAUAGCCGACGUGAGAGGGUGAUCGCCCACACGGGAACUGAGACACGGUCCAGACUCCUACGGGAGGCAGCAGUAGGGAAUCUUCCGCAAUAGGCGAAAGCCUGACGGAGCAACGCCGCGUGAGUUAUGAAGGUCUUCGGAUCGUAAAACUCUGUUAUUAGGGAAGAACAGAUUUGUAAGUAACUGUGCACAGCGUGACGGUACCUAAUCAGAAAGCCACGGCUAACUACGUG
rnacentral:rRNA from 1 species